AUGUUUAUCUUGUAGGGGAGAUCCCUUGAUCCUGUAACAAGGGGGAAGUUACAGGAAGAGGUAUGUCCAUUGCACUUUGGGUAUGUUGACUUCUGUGCUUUAUUCCCACGUUGAAAAGUUUUCUGCUGAAUUUUUGGUAUUUAGCAAUUACAUUCAUGUUUUCUCUUG